UUCUAGAAAACAUAUCAGAACCCUGUGAAUAUUCAUCAAGUAACAUAAUUUGAUUUAGUUAAAUGCUUUGUGGAAUGUGAAUCAGUUUCUUGUUUGGUUUGAAACUUUGGCUGUAGCUGUUACUGUGAGAGUUGGUUCCAUCAAAUUAAUUGGACUUCAUCUUUUCCUCCUUUUGGUAACAGUGGUUGUUAAAUAUCUAUACAGCUAUCCAUCCAUCCAUAAUUUUUAUAAUGCCGAUUGAAACCGGCCAAUCGUCUUCUGCCCAAGAGUCUUGCAAAAAUACAUUUUCUACAAAUACCACCCAAUCAUUUGUAAAAAUAGAAUCUCAUGGGUGCACCCAAAAAAGGGGUCUAUGCAGGUACAUUAAGUUUUAGUUGUGUUCAUAAAUUAUUGGUUUCUAUGAAGGUACAUUACGAUGCUAUGUCUGUGCCUAUGGCUAUUGCUUUACCUGGUUGCUUGCUUUUUGGCCAACCAGUUAUCGUAAAACCUUCUGAAGCGGAUAAAAACCUUGUUUAGUCAACCACAUGUGGUGCUGGAGCAGGUUUGGGGACAAGUGCUGCCUCUGAGAGAACUUUAUGUAAGAAAUCUUCAUUUUAACAUGACAGAGUUACAACUCAGAUAGGUUACAAAGCCUUAGAAUAUUGACUUAUCAUGUGCAUUAUAUAAUGGUGGAGGUUUAUAUACACAAUAUUCUGCGAUGUUGAUCUACCUUUACUUGUAGAAUAUAACAUGCUGAACAACAAAUUUAACGUGAUAGAGAAAAUAAAGUUUAGGCAAACACAAACAUGGGCGUAUCUAUCAAAUAUUUCACCCAAAUACACCCAUGUAUGUGUUUUCCUGAACUUUAUUUCGUCUAUAACACUGAUCUGUUCUUUAACAUGUAUAAUUGACUUUCUCAAUGUCCUUGCUACAGUAAUACCCAUCUAUACCAAACACUUUAUUUUCUGUUUCUAAGGUGCCCGCUUGACUUUGCUUAAAAAAAGUAGCUUUUCAAAAAUAGUUUUUUAGAGUCAAACUUCAGUAACUUUUAAGUCAAAAAUGAAAUGUAGGGAUACCUGCUUUUAGCUUCUAACUUUUUCAAGUUUUAACUUUUAAGUCAAAAAUGAAAUGAGGCAUACCUGCUUUUAACUUGUAACUUUUUUCAAGUUGUUUUUAAAAUAUCCAAACACUCUCGAGAGCUGAAAACACUCUUAAGCCAAAAACCCUCUAAUUUUCCAUUAUGUCUGUUAUGUUCAUAUUUUUGAAGCUUUUGGGCCAGUAGAGCUUAUUCAAUUACCUACAAAUCCUGAAACAGGACAUUGCGCAAAGGAUUUGGGUUUGUUCAAGUUGGUUUUUGGUGAAUUACAAUAUUUCUUUUCAGUAUAUAUUGUCUGUCAUAGUUUUUUUUCUUUUUGUAAUGCCUCUAUGUCUUGAUUUGGGUUCAUAUUAGUUUGCUCAACUUGAACAUGCAAAGGCAUCUAAAAGUUUGAAUUGCAAGCUUGAGAUUGCGGGUCGCACCAUCAAGAUUUCAUCCGUUGCUAAAGAUGUUCAAGUACAAGAUGCUGGAGCUAAAAUUGCUGAUUUUGAUGACAAUCAAGGAGGAGGCUUGGUGAGUUUGCUCCUAAAUCAUUAUUUACAAAGGACCUUGCAAGCCAUCUUUUCUUAAAUAGGUUAGAUACUUCGUAAGGUAUGAGCAUGAUGGAGGUGGUAAAAGGUCCAUCCAUGUGUUUAUGUUAGACAUGACAUGAGAAAAACAGUUACACCAUUUGCUACAUUGCUGCACUAUGUUGUCCUUCUCUCUCUUUUUAUCUCCUUAUUUGAUAUUGAAAUUCACCAACUUGUACUUCCUUCCAAUCUCUCCAUAAUAUAGGAUCAAGCCAAAUUUCCAUUCACACAAACUUCUGACACCCAAACAGAGAAGCAGUUCUGUAGAAAAUAUAGCUAGUAAAAGAUAUAGGUAUAUUGUCCUAAACAUUAAAAAACACAAUUAACAAAGGCUAACAAGUUCCUCCAAACUUGGACAAACUAAAAGGAUCAUUUUCUAUAAAAUGCAAAUUGAGUUUGAAACUUGUCUCGACCUAUAAAGAUCCACCUUACCCCUUUAAUCCAAAACAAAGUUAUCCGUGUGUCAGAGCAAUCCCUAGCAGCUUCAUUGGCUUCUUCAAUGACAUGGUGAACUGCACAAGUUAUACAUUUCAGCAAGUUGGAAAUUUCCUUCAACCUCUGUAUAGUUAUUUCAUUUGGCUUGGGGAGAUCAUUAACAUAUUGAACAAGCAUAACAUUAUUCGACUCCACAAUCAACUUUCUUGCAUGUGGUUCUCAUUUCUUACAUUGGUUCGACCCAUGCCUUUAGGCCUCAAGUUUAGCAAUCAAAUCAUCUUGAACCUCAAUAUCACCCAGUAGCUACUUAAACACGAUCCUUUUUCAUCUCAGAAGACACCACUAAAUUGUCCUGGCUGGUUCCCUUUGUGCUAAUACCAUAGAUGCUUAGUUCAAUCUUAACCUGGAAAAGGGGAAUCAAUUUCCAUAUGACAUGACAAGGUAUAUAAUAUUAACCCAAAAGUUUCUUCAAACAUCUUACCAGUCUGAUAGCUUGGCAUACCCGAUAAUAGUUUGGAAAUGCUGGACAAAAGUUAAAAGUUACAUUUCAGGGAGUUUACCCUCCUAUUGUUCCUUCAGCUCAACAAACAAGUACUUUGGAUAAUUCAACCAACAAAAUUAUCCAACUAGCACUUAAAUGAAUCACAUGAGUAAAACACAUCUUAUGACUUGGAAAAAUAAAUGAAAGAAACAUAGACAUAAAAUAAAGGGUUAAUGACUUCAAUGAUAUGUUCAUAGGGCAAAACUUUUGUUUCCCAUAAUUAAUAGAAUGAUAAUAGAAAAUUACAUUUGAUAAUAAAUAGAAAUUUUAGCAUUUAGUCACACUCCUAAAUAACUUUGGGUAUGAGACCAAUAAUAUCACGGUUUGCUAAUAUUUGUGUCAAAGUUGAUAUCCAUGUCAAACAAAUGUAAGUUAAAUUCUAAGAACACAUAAUCAUACAUUGCAUCUUCACUAGUUUUUAUGUCAAUCUCUAUUGUGAAUUUAAGAGUUCUCUGUAAACAUACCAUUGUUUCAAGAUCAUUCAGAUCCUUGAGCGAUAGAUCAUUAAAAUUCUCCACAAAUGAGUUUGUCAACAAGAGAAUCCGGUUAAGACAAGACGCAGACUAGUUUGCUCCCAAUAGAUUGCAAAUAAGAUGAUAGUAAGAAAGAGGCAUGUAGAACGUUCUUGGUCUCUAAGCUGUCCUCUUAUGAUCUUCAUCAAUGGUGCUUAAGACCUAGUCUUCUGCAAACUGCUGUAUCAAUAGAUGACAUUACAGGAUCAUAUAUUUCUACAUUGUCAAUUAUCUAGUGGUGUAUGCUGGAAUGCGAGGGGAUCUCAAACAGGAUGAGACCAUCCAAAAAAUAAAUAUCUAUCGCACUUUAGGCUCCUAUUCGCAUGUUCAGGUGGUUAAUCCAUGGUUUGAGAAGCGUUGAAUACACUUCCAAUUCAGAACUUUAGCCUGCCACAGUUCUCCAACUAAAGCAAAAUUUUUCCAGUUAGAUUGGCAGUAUAGAAAUAUACGGUCUUGUUAUGUCGUCUCUUCUGUUGAUAUUGCAGUUUGAACUUUGAAGGAAACUAGGUCUUGAGGUUCUCACCAUUGAUGAAGAUUGUAAGAGGAAAACACAUCUUAUGAGAUGCAGGAUUAUGUGCUCAGAAUUUUCCUAACAUUUCUUUGACGUCGAUAUCAACUUUGACACAAACAUUGGUAAGUUAGGAUAUUAUUGGUUUGAUAUGCAAAGAUAUUUGGGGGUGUAAUUAAAUACUGAAAUUUCCCGUUAUUAUCAAAUGUAAUUUUUUGUUUGAUUCGAGGAAACCCUAUGAACAUAUUGUUGAAGUCAUUAGCUCUCUAUUUUAUGUUUGUGUAUGCUUGUUU